GCCCUUUAUGGGUAAAGAAGGCAACACCAAUUUGGGACGGUCUUGUGAGAGUUUCGGCUCCUGCAGGUGCUUUUUCAAU
rnacentral:rRNA from 1 species